AAUUUAUUUUAAUUAAAUGUCAAUUAGUUUUUUUAUGUUUUUAUGAGAUUGCUAAAAUAAAUAAUUGUGAAUAUAUAUUUUUAGACAUUGGAUUCUCUUUAAGAAAAAUAAAAAUGAUAAUAAUUGAAAAUUUGUUGGAUAGUUGGGACAGCUGUAACAGAUUCUCUCUUGACUCCACUAUCUCUCCACUCACUCUCCACUACCUCUCCACUCCCUAACGUCUCUCUCCCUCCUCACAUAAACGACGAAAAAGACAAAAAAAAAAUCCUUCCAAUUCUCUCACUCACUCCACUCACAAAUCCAUAUAUCUCUCUCUCACGAAACGCAGACAGGGCGAGGAUCCUUACAAAAAAAUCUCUCACUCUCAAAAAACACACUCACACAAUUCCCUCUGAACGCCCCACUCACUUUCUCACAAAACCUUCAUCCUCUCUUCAACCCAAAAAAACCUAGCCGCCGCUCAUACCAAAAUCGUCAUCGUCUCUCUCUCAACCAUCGUCCCUCAAACACCGUCGAAAUCGCGACCACCACCACAUCCACCGUCGAAAUCACCUUCAUCCAAUGUCGUUAACCACUAAACCUCCAUAGACUUAAAGCUUUACCGAUCUGUACACCUAAUAAC
rnacentral:lncRNA from 1 species